GCAUAUCAAUAAGCGGAGGAAAAGAAACCAACAGGGAUUGCCCUAGUAACGGCGAGUGAAGCGGCAACAGCUCAAAUUUGAAAUCUGGCUUCGGCCCGAGUUGUAAUUUGCAGAGGAUGUUUAUGGUGCGGUACCUUCCGAGUUCCCUGGAACGGGACGCCACAGAGGGUGAGAGCCCCGUCUGGUUGGAUACCAAACCUGUGUUAAACUCCUUCAACGAGUCGAGUAGUUUGGGAAUGCUGCUCUAAAUGGGAGGUAAAUCUCUUCUAAAGCUAAAUACCGGCCAGAGACCGAUAGCGCACAAGUAGAGUGAUCGAAAGAUGAAAAGCACCUUGAAAAGGGGGUUAAACAGUACGUGAAAUUGUUAAAAGGGAAGCGUUUAUGACCAGACUUGUGUCGUGUGGCUCAUCCGAGGUUCUCCCCGGUGCACUCCACACGGCUCAGGCCAACAUCGGUUCUCGUUGGGGGAUAAGAACAGUAGGAACGUGGCCCUCUUCGGAGGGUGUUAUAGCCUGCUGUACGAUACCCUGAUGGGGACCGAGGACCGCGCUUCGGCUAGGAUGUUGGCGUAAUGGUCAUUAGCGACCCGUCUUGAAACACGGACCAAGGAGUCGUCCAUUAGAGCGAGCGUUUGGGUGUCAAACCCGCACGCGUAAUGAAAGUGAAAUUAGGUGAGAGCUUCGGCGCAUCAUCGACCGAUCCUGAAGUUUACGGAUGGAUUUGAGUAAGAGUUUUAACGGACGGACCCGAAAGACAGUGAACUAUGCUUGAAUAGGGUGAAGCCAGAGGAAACUCUGGUGGAGGCUCGCAGCGGUUCUGACGUGCAAAUCGAUCGUCAAAUUUGAGCAUGGGGGGCGAAAGACUAAUCGAACUGUCUAGUAGCUGGUUACCGCG
rnacentral:rRNA from 1 species